rnacentral:snRNA from 1 species
GUCUUGCUGGAUUAGCUGGGUGGCCCUAACUGCCAUCAUCAGUGUCAUCACAAGAGAGAAGCUUCCACAAUACACAUACUAAAAAUGGAAUACUAUAGAGAAAAGUGCAUGGUCCUGCACAAGAAUGACACACAAAUUCAUGAAGAGCUCCACAUUUAA